rnacentral:rRNA from 1 species
UGUAGGCGGCUCAUCAAGUCUGGUGUGAAAUCGCAGGGCUUAACCCUGCAUAUGCGCUGGAAACUGGUGGGCUUGAGUUCUUGAGGGGAAGCUGGAAUUCCAGGUGUAGGGGUGAAAUCUGUAGAUAUCUGGAAGAACACCGGUGGCGAAGGCGAGCUUCUAUCAGAGGACUGACGCUGAGGCGCGAAAGCGUGGGGAGCAAACAGGAUUAGAUACCCUGGUAGUCCACGCUGUAAACGAUGUGCACUAGGCGUGGGGCCCGUACGGGUUCUGUGCCGUAGUUAACGUGUUAAGUGCACCGCCUGGGGAGUAUGCUCGCAAGGGUGAA